rnacentral:rRNA from 1 species
UAUGGAGCUUUAAUUAUUUAAUUCAAUAUUUUCACAACUUCACUCCACAGGAGCUUAACCAAGAAAAUCCCUGAAUUAAAAAUUUUGGUUGGGGUGACCUCGGAGCAAAAACCAACCUCCGAAUGAUUAAAGCCUAGACUCAACAAGUCAAAGCAUUAGAAAUCAUAAAUUGACCCAAAUCCUUUUGAUCAACGGAACAAGUUACCCUA